GGCUCAGGAUGAACGCUAGCGACAGGCUUAACACAUGCAAGUCGAGGGGCAGCAUAAAGUAGCAAUACUUGGUGGCGACCGGCGCACGGGUGAGUAACGCGUAUGCAACCUACCUAUCAGAGGGGAAGUAACCCGGCGAAAGUCGGACUAAUACCGCAUAAAACAGGGGCACCGCAUGGUGAUAUUUGUUAAAGAAAUUCGCUGAUAGAUGGGCAUGCGUUCCAUUAGGUAGUUGGUGAGGUAACGGCUCACCAAGCCGACGAUGGAUAGGGAACUGAGAGGUUGGUCCCCCACACUGGUACUGAGACACGGACCAGACUCCUACGGGAGGCAGCAGUGAGGAAUAUUGGUCAAUGGGCGGGAGCCUGAACCAGCCAAGUCGCGUGAAGGAAGAAGGAUCUAUGGUUCGUAAACUUCUUUUGCAGGGGAACAAAGUGCAGGACGUGUCCUGUUUUGUAUGUACCCUGAGAAUAAGGAUCGGCUAACUCCGUGCCAGCCGCCGC
rnacentral:rRNA from 1 species